AUGACUAAGAGAACCAAGAAGGCCGGUAUUGUUGGCAAAUACGGCACCCGAUAUGGUGCUAGUUUGAGGAAGCAAAUUAAAAAGAUGGAAGUCAGUCAGCACAAAAAAUUCUUCUGCGAGUUUUGUGGAAAGUAUGCUUUUAAGAGAAAGGUUGUUGGUAUUUGGGGUUGCAAAGAUUGUGGGAAGGUAAAUGGAAUCGUCGAAAUCGCGAACGAAGGUGAUGAGAUGAAAUGGAAAAGAUCGUUGGAGAUUUUGCGGAGAGAGAAGCCGAUCGGAUGUUUGGGCUCUGUCACGGAUUCGAUCGGAAAAGGAGGUUUUGGCCGCCGCCGUGAGUCGCGGAGGAGAAGUUAUCAGUCGGCCCUAAUGGUUAACAAUUCCUCUUCUGUUCUUUUUGCUUAUUUCCUUUUUUUCUAA